rnacentral:rRNA from 1 species
GAUGAACGCUGGCGGCGUGCCUAAUACAUGCGAGUCGAGCGAACGGACGAGAAGCUUGCUUCUCUGAUGUUAGCGGCGGACGGGUGAGUAACACGUGGAUAACCUACCUAUAAGACUGGGAUAACUUCGGGAAACCGGAGCUAAUACCGGAUAAUAUUUUGAACCGCAUGGUUCAAAAGUGAAAGACGGUCUUGCUGUCACUUAUAGAUGGAUCCGCGCUGCAUUAGCUAGUUGGUAAGGUAACGGCUUACCAAGGCAACGAUGCAUAGCCGACCUGAGAGGGUGAUCGGCCACACUGGAACUGAGACACGGUCCAGACUCCUACGGGAGGCAGCAGUGGGGAAUCUUCCGCAAUGGGCGAAAGCCUGACGGAGCAACGCCGCGUGAGUGAUGAAGGUCCUCGGAUCGUAAAACUCUGUUAUUAGGGAAGAACAUAUGUGUAAGUAACUGUGCACAUCUUGACGGUACCUAAUCAGAAAGCCACGGCUAACUACGUG